rnacentral:rRNA from 1 species
GGAUGCGAUCAUACCAGCACUAAAGCACCGCAUCCCAUCAGAACUCCGAAGUUAAGCGUGCUUGGGCGAGAGUAGUACUAGGAUGGGUGACCUCCUGGGAAGUCCUCGUGUUGCAUUCC